rnacentral:rRNA from 1 species
GGAUAACACUUGGAAACAGGUGCUAAUACCGCAUAACCAUAGUUACCGCAUGGUAACUAUGUAAAAGGUGGCUAUGCUACCGCUUUUGGAUGGGCCCGCGGCGCAUUAGCUAGUUGGUGGGGUAAAGGCUUACCAAGGCAAUGAUGCGUAGCCGAACUGAGAGGUUGAUCGGCCACAUUGGGACUGAGACACGGCCCAAACUCCUACGGGAGGCAGCAGUAGGGAAUCUUCCACAAUGGGCGAAAGCCUGAUGGAGCAACGCCGCGUGGGUGAAGAAGGUCUUCGGAUCGUAAAACCCUGUUGUUAGAGAAGAAAGUGCGUGAGAGUAACUGUUCACGUUUCGACGGUAUCUAACCAGAAAGCCACGGCUAACUACGUGCCAGCAGCCGCGGUAAUACGUAGGCGGCAAGCGUUAUCCGGAUUUAUUGGGCGUAAAGGGAACGCAGGCGGUCUUUUAAGUCUGAUGUGAAAGCCUUCGGCUUAACCGGAGUAGUGCAUUGGAAACUGGGAGACUUGAGUGCAGAAGAGGAGAGUGGAACUCCAUGUGUAGCGGUGAAAUGCGUAGAUAUAUGGAAGAACACCAGUGGCGAAAGCGGCUCUCUGGUCUGUAACUGACGCUGAGGUUCGAAAGCGUGGGUAGCAAACAGGAUUAGAUACCCUGGUAGUCCACGCCGUAAACG